ACCGUCGACAGUCUUGCAACGAGCGAGACCCCUGCGUCUAGUUGCUACCAUUACUCUCUGGAGCAGUGGAGCGAAUUAAACGGACCGCCACAGUUAAUGUGGAGGAAGGAAGGGGCCACGGCAGGUCAGUAUGCCCCGAAACCCUAGGGCUACACGCGGGCUGCAAUGGUAUUGACAAUGUGUUCCGAAUCCGAAAGAAGGAGGCAAUCAUCAAACAAUAUCUCAGUUAUGACUGAGGGCUGUAACUCGCCCUCACGAAUAUGGAAUCCCUAGUAACCGCGCGUCACUACCGCGCGGUGAAUACGUCCCUGCUCCUUGCACGAAUUCGCCG
rnacentral:rRNA from 1 species